AUGGGAUAUUUCACACUCGAAGCUGCUCUGUGAGUUUGAUCCAUGGAUUAACAAAGGCUGCAUCUCUGCAAAGCCCCAGCUUGGGCAAGAACUUGGGCUCUGCAAAGUGCAGCCCAGUGACCGCGUCCCAGGCCGGAGAAGAAUCCUUGAGCCGGAGCUCAGCGCCACAUCCAGAGCCUCACGACAGGAGCUGUGCCUCGAGUGGAGACUUCUGGAACUGUGAAGAAAACAAGAUUAAAGAAGAAAUCAUUGGCAAUGGAAUGCUGCAACAACUGAACUGCUGACUUUUUUUCAGCGGAUACUAAGCUGAGAAGGAUCAUAAUGGAAAGUGACACUGAAAAAUCACAGGUUGUGCUUUCAAGUCAUGAGAGGCCAUCAGUUUUGGGGACAGAUCUCUACCAAGGUCAUUCUGUUUGCUGCAUCAUCAGUCUCUCACUUACAUCAGGAGGACCCCGAAGCACACGGUGGUGUCUCAAGAUGCCAAUUACUCUGAUUUGGAAUUUUGUGUACAGUAAUUAAAGAGCCAGGUAGCAGCAGACAUGUGUUACUCUGAGAUAACACACCCCUUGGAAGGAUCAUGAGGCAGGAGGUGGAGUGAGUGCCUCCAAUGACCUGGGAAAGGCAUUUAUCUCAGCGCUGCACGAGCCUGGGGGGGCAUUGCCACUGUGCACCAACUAUCAGCACUAUCAGCUGCACUGUGAUUGAUUGCAGCAUGUCAAACAGAUGUUUAAAACAUGUUCAGCCUUGUGCAUCAUGUGAUAAUUAUGUCUGACUCUGAAGGACCAAUGUAUCAGGUGUGAGGAGAUAGGAGCACGAAGUGUUUGGGUUUGGUUUUUUUUUGUUUUCACUGGGAUAUGCAUGACUGGCAAAAGUUAUCUUGAAAGGGACUUUGAGCUCCAGAGCGCCACAGCUUCAGCAAACCUAACAUCCAUAAUGCAGGAGAGUGCUCACAUGGAAUUGGCUCAAGUUGGGCAUUCAGAGCUGGUGUGUAUUAUUCCUUUUUUUCACAAAUGUGGGUGUGCAUGAGCAUGUGUUUGCACACCCAGAGCGAUCUCCAUGGUGUUUAUUUUUGACCCAUGAUUAUUUUUACUCCCUCCUUAGUGCUGUGAAUUGUUUCAUUUUUCUCGUGACUGACAGGGAACAUUUUUCCAGAGCAGCCUGGCACUGUCCCUGGGACGAGGGUUGGCUGCUCAGCACAUCCCUGGCAGACAAAGGGCUUUGUGCUGCCUGCUCUGCCCACAGGCACCACAUCACACCCAGGAGAAAGGUCUCUCUUUAAUCUGGGCUGCUCAGGAAAUCAAAGGGGGGGAAUUAAAACAAGAGCAGUGACUGAUUUCUGUAGGAGAUCACUUUCCUGUUUCAUUUCAUAGAAUGAACAGCAGAAUCAAAGCAAGGUUAGAAGCCCUGUGUACCUUUUUUUUUUCCCAGCAACUUCUGUGAUGUCAGUUCAGAAGGUGUUAUAAUAAUGGAACACAUGUGCAGUAAUGAUUUUAGAAAUUUUCUUUAUUAUAUUUACCUUAUAAUAAUUUACAUAUAGCUGCUCUGACAAGGUGUGGGCCUUCUGAGUCAUCAGGCUUGUAGUUAAACAUGUUAAAGCUGAUUAAAUCUGCAGCUGUUUGUUUCUUUGCAUUCUUUUGAUCUCUGCUAAAAAUAGCCCAGUGCCUUCAUAAGGACUAAAUUUCAAAGGUAUGGUGGGAUGUUGCUUCAACAUUGGAUUUGAACAGCCAAUAAUGAACAGUAAAAAUCUGGUUUGUGCUCAGAGGAAAGAGCAGUGAGAGGGAAGGCAGAGCUGUGGAAGAGUCCCCAAGCUUGGCUGGGCUGCCAAGUGCUUUAACAAGGACAGAAAUGUUGUGCCUUUUACUGGCAAUGCCUCCCUACAAGUGAAAUGUGCUUCUCAUGUGUUUCAGGCAAACUGGUGAAUUUUUCAUUUUUCCCCCUUCCUUUUUUUUUUUUUUUUUUUUUUUCUUCUGUAAAAUGAGGUUAAGGUGGCAAUGUAGGAUCUCUGCUUAUUCUGUGCUGGCUUUCUUUGCACUUCAGUGGAAUCCACAUGGGAUGGGGAUAUCCAGCUCUGCAUUGCUAUUUCUCACUUUAAUGACCCUGGUAAAUCUUUAAUGAUUGCCAUCACUGUCAGAAGGGCACAAAGGGCCCUCAUCUGUCUUGAUGCAACCUAAGAAAAUAUGCUCAAAGAUGUCAGUUAAAAUAAUGGCAUUUGGUGGUAGGUCGCUUGGAUUUUUAUGGGUACCCACCUCUUGCAAAAAGCAGUACAGAAAUCCCACUCUUAACCAUUAUAAUCACUUAAAAACCCCAAAUGUCCAUGUCUUCGGUUUUGGGGUUUUUUUAUUAACUAGGGCAGCACAUUCCAGACAAAAAGAAUUGAGACAGACACUUCACAGGAAUGGGCCUCCUCAUUUCUGUAUUCCAGAGCAGCUGAGAUGUAAGAUUUUAUUUUAAAUUAGGCAUUUCCAAGUGUGAGAUUUUCAUUCAAAACUUGCUUGAAAGUCCGUGUUAGAACAAUCCAUUCAACAUUAGAACAAAGCUUUUUCCACCACUCAAGCAUUGUUUCAUCAUGAGUGAUUUCCCUACCAUAGCAUAGCCUUUAAGACAUAAUUCUCUCAAAUUAUGGGGUGUGCUAGCAACCCUGAGAGUCAGAAACUGGAUAUACACAUCUCCUGCUCUCAUUAAUAGCACUUGCCUGCCUAAUUUACUGA